GAGCUGGUAACUUUGUCCCCUUCUCCCCUGACAGUCUUAAGAAGAGCUAUCUGGGCAUCAGAGUUCUCACACUAGCAGAAUUAACUACCUUCUCUAUUCAGUUCAGUGGCUCUCAAAGUCCCAUGGAAAAUGCAGUUUUAGCCUGUUUAAAAAUCUUUCUUUUGGUAUACAUGUAUGUACACGAGCACAAAAGGAAAUUUAAAAUUUUUUUAAAAGAAUUUUAGCUGGAUUGGGGAGAUGAUUUGGCUGCUAAGUGCUGAGUGUGCACACUUGGACAUACGAUUUAGUCCUCAUCACCCACCUAAAAAGCCAGACAUAUAAUCCCAACACUGAAAAAGCUGAGAAAGACAGAUCCCAGGAGCUCACAUGAUCCCCCAUCCCACUGGAGCCCAAAGAAUGAGUGUCCACUUCAGUGAGAAAGCCUGUCUCAAUAGAAUAAGUAGUCACAAGAUGGUACCUGACAUCCUGCUCUGACUCCUGUGCUCAUUUGGCUGCAUGUACCUGUACACUCAAUGUGCCCCUAGACACACAAAUGCAUCUGUGUACUCACAUGUGCCCCUAGACACACAAAUGCACCUGUGCACUCACAUGUGCCCUUACACACACACACACACACACACACACACAUGUGCACCUGUACACUCACAUGUGCCCCCACAAAUGAACCUGUGCACUCACAUGUGCCCCUACACACACAAAUGCACCUGUACACUCACAUGUGCCACUACACACACAUGCACCUGUGCACUCAAAUGUGCCCCCCCACAAAUGCACCUGUGCACUCACAUGUGCCCCUACACACAUAUGCACCUGUGCACUCACAUGUGCCCCCCCACAAAUGCACCUGUGCACUCACAUGUGCCCCUACACACACACACAUGCACCUGUGCACUCACAUGUGCUACCCCACAAAUGCACCUGUGCACUCACAUGUGCCCCUACACACACACAAAUGCACCUAUACACUCACAUGUGCCCCUACACACAUACACACAUGCACCUGUGCACUCACAUGUGUCCCCCCACAAAUGCACCUGUGCACUCACAUGUGCCCCUACAUACAUAUGCACCUGUGCACUCACAUGUGCCCCCCCACAAAUGCACCUGUGCACUCACAUGUGCCCCUACACACACACACACACACACACACACACACAUGCACCUGUGCACUCACAUGUGCUCCCCCACAAAUGCACCUGUGCACUCACAUGUACCCCUACACACACACACAAAUGCACCUGUACACUCACGUGUGCCCCUACACACACACAAAUGCACCUGUGCACUCACAUGUGCCCCUACACACACACAUGCACCUGUGCACUCACAUGUGCCCCUACACACACACAAAUGCACCUGUACACUCACACGUGCCCCCACACACAAAUGCACCUGUACACUCACAUGUGCCCCUACAUACAAAUGCACUUGUGCACUCACAUGUGCCCCUCCACAGACACAAAUGCACCUGUGCACUCACAUCUGUCCCUACACACACACAAAUGCAUCUGUACACUCACAUGUGCCCUCCUCCACACUCAAAUUUUUAAAAUAAUUUCUCACUACUCUUCUUUGUUAGCCUCAUUUAAAAUGAAGUAUGGAUAGAGGAGAGCUACUUGUUCAUAGUCUGGUUUAUUUUUCUGAACCCUAAGCUGUGUGGCCAUCUGUCCAUGUGUAUAUGUAGACAGUCCUCUCCCCUGCACUACUGUUACUUAUAGACUAUUAAACUAUGGUAUGUUUUAGUAA
rnacentral:lncRNA from 1 species